rnacentral:rRNA from 1 species
UACGGGGGGGCAAGCGUUGUUCGGAAUUACUGGGCGUAAAGGGCUCGUAGGCGGCCAACUAAGUCAGACGUGAAAUCCCUCGGCUUAACCGGGGAACUGCGUCUGAUACUGGAUGGCUUGAGUUUGGGAGAGGAUGCGGAAUUCCAGGUGUAGCGGUGAAAUGCGUAGAUAUCUGGAGGAACACCGGUGGCGAAGGCGGCAUCCUGGACCAACACUGACGCUGAGGAGCGAAAGCCAGGGAGCAAACGGG